UACGGAGGGGGCUAGCGUUGUUCGGAAUUACUGGGCGUAAAGCGCGCGUAGGCGGCUUUGUAAGUUAGAGGUGAAAGCCCGGAGCUCAACUCCGGAACUGCCUUUAAGACUGCAUCGCUAAAACGUUGGAGAGGUGAGUGGAAUUCCGAGUGUAGAGGUGAAAUUCGUAGAUAUUCGGAAGAACACCAGUGGCGAAGGCGACUCACUGGACAACUGUUGACGCUGAGGUGCGAAAGCGUGGGGAGCAAACAGG
rnacentral:rRNA from 1 species